CGCACGGGUGAGUAACACGUAUGCAACCUGCCUGCCACAGCCGGAUAAUCGGGAGAAAUUCCGUCUAAUACGGCAUAAUGCAUCGACGGGACAUCCUGUUGGUGCCAAAGGUUAAUUCCGGUGGCGGAUGGGCAUGCGUCGCAUUAGUUAGUUGGCGGUGUAACGGACCACCAAGACGACGAUGGGUAGGGGUUCUGAGAGGAAGGUCCCCCACACUGGUACUGAGACACGGACCAGACUCCUACGGGAGGCAGCAG
rnacentral:rRNA from 1 species